CUUCAAAAUCCUAACACAAUAGGCCACAAUAGGAAAAUGAAGUGCCAGAAAUGCCAAAUAAUUGCAGUCCCAAAUGGACAUUUUGUAACAAAAGAAAUAACUCAAGGACUCGGCCGCCAUUCUUUUGUAGUCUUUCUGGAUUCUUUGUGUGGGAGUGCGUGGGGGUGCUGUGUGUGUCUGCGGGUAAAUUGAAAGUGCAAAUAUUAACAUUCAAGACGAUGUGCCAGGCACACUUGUGGCUUUUCUGCCGUCAUGUCCUUGCUGCCACUCAAUCAGCAGGACGCUGGAUCCGAGACCAUGAAUGAUGCGAGCCGAGGCCAGGACAACAGCUGCUGACAAGGACACGCCACCCACACAUGAGAAUUAGUUGUGCCAGGACAUGCCUUUCAGGGCAAAACUUUAAUUAAAUUGUAUAUGUUUUUUGGCAUGCAGUAGAAAAUUCCA
rnacentral:sRNA from 1 species